AAACCAGCACCUCAAGUGGUCAGGAUGAUUAUUGGGCCUAAAGCAUCCGUAGCCGGCUCUGUAAGUUUUCGGUCAAAUCUGUACGCUCAACGUACAGGCUGCCGGGAAUACUGCAGAGCUAGGGAGUGGGAGAGGUAGACGGUACUCGGGAGGAAGGGGUAAAAUCCUUUGAUCUCUCGAUGACCACCUGUGGCGAAGGCGGUCUACCAGAACACGUCCGACGGUGAGGGAUGAAAGCUGGGGGAGCAAACCGGAUUAGAAACCCGAGUAGUCC
rnacentral:rRNA from 1 species